GAUGAAGAACGCAGCGAAAUGUGAUAAGUAAUGUGAAUUGCAAAAUUCAGUGAAUCAUCGAAUCUUUGAACGCACAUUGCGCCCGCCAGCAUUCUGGCGGGCAUGCCUGUUCGAGCGUCAUUUCAACCCUCGAGCCCCCCCGGGGGCCUCGGUGUUGGGGGACGGCACACCAGCCGCCCCCGAAAUGCAGUGGCGACCCCGCCGCAGCCUCCCCUGCGUAGUAGCACACACCUCGCACCGGAGCGCGGAGGCGGUCACGCCGUAAAACGCCCAACUUUCUUAGAGUUGACCUCGGAUCAGGUAGGAAUACCCGCUGAACUUAAGCAUAUCAAUAAGCGGAGGA
rnacentral:misc_RNA from 1 species